GGUCACCACCUCCACUUGAAUGUAGUGCCCUACUCCAGAGGGUGUCACUCACAUUGCCUAAAGCAUGAUUGUCACCUUUUUGAGUAGAGCAAUACAUAGCAUUUACGUUCUGUGUGAU
rnacentral:pre_miRNA from 14 species